AUAACUUAUAGGCAUCAUAAUGUUUAUGAGUUUGGUAAUCUUUAGUUGCCUCAUUUUCCCGUAUUUGUAGGUCAACCAACUUCCUACCCCCGAUGUGACUGAAGUGGGCAUAUGAAGCUUCAAUAUUCAACCUGUAAAACUGGCUCCCUCUAGUUUGGAUGUCCACAGUGAAACUUGCUUUCAAUCCUUUAUCAUUCAAAAUGAAUUGCCAAGCC
rnacentral:lncRNA from 1 species